rnacentral:rRNA from 1 species
GACGAACGCUGGCGGCGUGCUUAACACAUGCCAGUCGAACGGAAAGGCCCUGCUUUUGUGGGGUGCUCGAGUGGCGAACGGGUGAGUAACACGUGAGUAACCUGCCCUUGACUUUGGGAUAACUUCAGGAAACUGGGGCUAAUACCGGAUAGGAGCUCCUGCUGCAUGGUGGGGGUUGGAAAGUUUCGGCGGUUGGGGAUGGACUCGCGGCUUAUCAGCUUGUUGGUGGGGUAGUGGCUUACCAAGGCUUUGACGGGUAGCCGGCCUGAGAGGGUGACCGGCCACAUUGGGACUGAUACGGCCCAGACUCCUACGGGAGGCAGCAGUGGGGAAUAUUGCACAAUGGGCGGAAGCCUGAUGCAGCAACGCCGCGUGCGGGAUGACGGCCUUCGGGUUGUAAACCGCUUUCGCCUGUGACGAAGCGUGAGUGACGGUAAUGGGUAAAGAAGCACCGGCUAACUACGUG